CUGACGGAACUGGAGACUGAAAUCCCCUGGUUCCUCACAGCACAGGGGCAGCUGCAGCUCCAUAUUGCUGCCUGCCAAUGUGCCUCAACUCUGACCCAAAGGGACCAUCUCGAGGGGUGAAGGGGGCGCUCAUGCUCCAUUUCCAGUUAGUCCUCUCCCUGU
rnacentral:sRNA from 1 species